rnacentral:tmRNA from 1 species
GGGGGUGACCUUGGAUUUGAUAGAAGGACUCCGUACCUAUUGAUAGCCACUGCUCGAUGAUACUAGAGCUAAAAUAUGUAUCGAAGCUAAAAUGCUAAACCAACUUUUGCUAGCCUCAAAGGUGCUGUAAACAGAUUUAAUGCUGCUUACAACUUCAACUACGCAAACGUAGCCUAAUUGCUAGCACUUAACCUCUAUGUUUGACUCCUCCUAUACGUAGAGGUGUCUUAAGGAGGAACCUCUACAGUUGUACUAGCGAAUACUUUACAUGAGUUUGCUCUUUGUCUCUGAAGUCCCCGCUAAGAUAACUCAAAAAAUCGGGUUGGAAAAGUCGCUAUAGUGGUAGACAUUGAUAGAUACGCCUUUUAGACCGGAGUUCAAUUCUCCGCACCUUCACCA